UUCAAAUAUAAACACAAACAUAGCCAGCAUGAACGACAGCAUCUGCAUUGGCCACGGAGCUAAAACAGGCUCUUAGAAAUGUGCUUGACAUUUCCCGUGGCAGCUUCACAGCCUCCUUGGAAAGCCUUGGUCCACCUCUCUGCUGCUGACAAGCUCUGAUUUGGAUGAAGAAAAGGAGGCUCAGAGAGUUUAAGAAACUUACCCUCCUCACACCAUGGAUAACAGGCAGAGCCAAAAGCAAAUGCAGAUGAAGACGUUGAUGCUCAAAAGUCGCUAAUGAGAAGCUGAGCCAAGAGUCAGAUCCAAAGUCCUUCCAGCUCUGAAGCCUGCAUUGUUUCCAACGCAUGAUGUUGUCUGAAUGGCUCAGUGAUGGCUUGGCUGAAGAAGACUUCAUGAUCACUCCCAUUUUGAAGAUCAGCACAUUGAGGUUCAGAGUGGUGAAAUGACUUGAAGUUCCUGUGGAGAGUAAAUGGGAAACAUCAGAGGAAUGAUUUGAACCCUGGUCUGUCCACCUUCAGUGCCCAUAUUUUGUCCUCCAUGCUUUGAAGCACAAAUCAUGAUUCAGGUGAAGAAAGAUAUUUUAAGAGCUAUGAAGAUUGCUGGUAUUCUCAACAACAAGAGCUCUGUGGUCACAUGUGAGUCUAGUUUGGGUUGUUGCUUUUCAAACUUAUUUGAUUACAAAACUAUAGAUGUCAAUUAUUUUGCAAAAUGCUUAGUGCUGGAGAUGAUGAGUGCCUAGAUGUAAGCAUCUGCUGCU
rnacentral:lncRNA from 1 species